UACAGAGACUGCAAGCGUUAUUCGGAUUCACUGGGCGUAAAGGGUGCGCAGGCGGUCGGGUGUGUCAGAUGUGAAAUCCCGAGGCUCAACCUCGGAACUGCGUCUGAAACUACUCGACUAGAGUACUGGAGAGGGUAACGGAAUUCACGGUGUAGCAGUGAAAUGCGUAGAUAUCGGGAGGAACACCAGUGGCGAAGGCGGAUCUCUGGGCCGUAACUGACGCUGAGGAGCGAAAGCAUGGGUAGCGAACAGG
rnacentral:rRNA from 1 species